CCUGGCUCAGAUUGAACGCUGGCGGCAUGCCUUACGCAUGCAAGUCGAACGGCAGCGGACCUUCGGGUGCCGGCGAGUGGCGAACGGUGAGUAAUAUAUCGGAACGUUACCUUUCAGUGGGGGAUUAACGUAGCGAAAGUUACGCUAAUACCGCAUAUUCUGUGAGCAGGAAAGCAGGGGAUCGCAAGACCUUGCGCUGAUUGAGCGGCCGAUAUCAGAUUAGCUAGUUGGUGAGGUAAAGGCUCACCAAGGCGACGAUCUGUAGCGGGUCUGAGAGGAUGAUCCGCCACACUGGAACUGAGACACGGUCCAGACUCCUACGGGAGGCAGCAGUGGGGAAUUUUGGACAAUGGGCGCAAGCCUGAUCCAGCCAUGCCGCGUGAGUGAAGAAGGCCUUCGGGUUGUAAAGCUCUUUCAGCCGGGAAGAAAACGCAUGGGUUAAUACCCUGUGUGGAUGACGGUACCGGAAUAAGAAGCACCGGCUAACUACGUG
rnacentral:rRNA from 1 species